rnacentral:rRNA from 1 species
AUUGAACGCUGGCGGCAGGCCUAACACAUGCAAGUCGAACGAGUGGCGGACGGGUGAGUAAUGUCUGGGAAACUGCCUGAUGGCGGGGGAUAACUACUGGAAACGGUAGCUAAUACCGCAUACCAUCGGAUGUGCCCAGUAGGGAUUAGCUAGUAGGUGGGGUAAAGGCUCACCUAGGCGACGAUCCCUAGCUGGUCUGAGAGGAUGACCAGCCACACUGGAACGUAGACACGAUCCAGACUCCUACGGGAGGCAGCGAUGGGGAAUAUUGCACAAUGGGCGCAAGCCUGAUGCAGCCAGGCCGCGUGUAUGAAGAAGGCCUUCGGGUUGUAAAGUACUUUCAGCGGAGAGGGGUUACACGCAGAAGCAGCACCGGCUAACUCCGUGCCAGCAGCCGCGGUAAUUC